CCUACGGGAGGCAGCAGUAGGGAAUAUUGCUCAAUGGGGGAAACCCUGAAGCAGCAACGCCGCGUGGAGGAUGAAGGUUUUCGGAUUGUAAACUCCUUUUGUUAGAGAAGAUAAUGACGGUAUCUAACGAAUAAGCACCGGCUAACUCCGUGCCAGCAGCCGCGGUAAUACGGAGGGUGCAAGCGUUACUCGGAAUCACUGGGCGUAAAGAGCGCGUAGGCGGGAUAGCAAGUCAGAUGUGAAAUCCUAGGGCUUAACCAUAGAACUGCAUUUGAAACUGUUAUUCUAGAGUAUGGGAGAGGUAGGUGGAAUUCUUGGUGUAGGGGUAAAAUCCGUAGAGAUCAAGAGGAAUACUCAUUGCGAAGGCGACCUGCUAGAACAUAACUGACGCUGAUGCGCGAAAGCGUGGGGAGCAAACAGGAGUAGAUACCCGUGUAGUC
rnacentral:rRNA from 1 species